CUUCUACUCAAUUCGUUCCGAAUUACUUGUCGCAGAAAUGGAUGUAUCUAGAACUAAAAAUUCGGAUUAGUUCUAGAUACAUCCAGAAAUUAGUUCUAGAUACAUCCAUUUCUGCGACAAGUAAUUCGGAACGGAGGGAGUACUAC
rfam:Triticum aestivum genome assembly, contig: Triticum_aestivum_CS42_TGACv1_scaffold_361172_4DS